rnacentral:rRNA from 1 species
UACGUAGGGUGCAAGCGUUAAUCGGAAUUACUGGGCGUAAAGCGUGCGCAGGCGGUUGGCAAAGUCAGCUGUGAAAUCCCCGGGCUUAACCUGGGAACUGCGUUUGAAACUGGAAGGCUUGAGUGUGGCAGAGGGGGGGUGGAAUUCCACGUGUAGCAGUGAAAUGCGUAGAGAUGUGGAGGAACACCGAUGGCGAAGGCAGCCCCCUGGGCUAACACUGACGCUCAUGCACGAAAGCGUGGGGGAGCAAACAGG